rnacentral:lncRNA from 1 species
AUCUCGGUGGAUUGUGAACAACACACAGGCCUGGCUUUCGGAAAUUCCGGGUAGGCCGCUGGAAGCCACUAAGGCCUACCAGCUGUAGAGGCUUGCCACUGAAGAUUUGAUAAUGAUUUUAGACCAGUAAAAUUCUGAGGUUCAUGCUCCAAACCUUAAUAAGAGAUCUAUCAUGAUUCAGUGGGGCAUAAAAACUUAUUUCAGCAA